GAUGAAGAACGUAGCGAAAUGCGAUAAGUAGUGUGAAUUGCAGAAUUCAGUGAAUCAUCGAAUCUUUGAACGCACAUUGCGCCCCUUGGUAUUCCAUGGGGCAUGCCUGUUCGAGCGUCAUUUGUACCUUCAAGCUUUGCUUGGUGUUGGGUGUUUGUCCAUUCUCUUGCAGAGGGACUCGCCUUAAAGUAAUUGGCAGCCAGUGUUUUGGUUUUGAAGCGCAGCACAAGUCGCGAUUCAACGCUAUACGCCAGCUUCCACAAGCCUUUUUCACUUUUGACCUCGGAUCAGGUAGGGAUACCCGCUGAACUUAAGCAUAUCAAUAGCGGAGGA
rnacentral:misc_RNA from 1 species